rnacentral:rRNA from 1 species
GCUGUUUAGCAGGUGGUAGCGCCCAGCUGCCCUUGGAAGCUAAGUAAGAUAUGGCCUAGUCAGUAUUUGAGUGGGAAACUACUAAAGAAUCUAGUACUGUACACCA